UUUUGAGGAGGCGGAUUAGGACUGAGAACAUUUUGGCCUUUUUCAGGAUUCUGGUGAUGUCGUCGGGGACCGAGUCAGGAGAGUCUGGAGACUGAGGUAUUGUGGGAACUAAUGGUUUUGGUGAUGGUGCUGUUGCCUUUGGGGUAGGAGGAGUUUUUGCUGUGGCUUUUGGUGCUGCUGCAGGUGCUGGUGAAAUGGCCAUGGUGGUGGAGGAAAGGAGUAGGAAGAGUGAGAAGAAGAAAAGAGUUGCUUGCUUCAUCUUCCAGCUAGUUGCCAAGUCAAGCCCGUUGAUGGCUUUGAUGAUUCUGGAAGAAUGUGAAUGGUUCUUGCAAUUUGUGUUUGAUGAGUGGGAUGUUUGAAGAAGAGGGAUUAUAUAGAAGCCAAGGAAAUAAUAGGUUGGUGAAAUGUUAUGGUUGUGAAAUUUGCCAGAUUUUGAGUAUGAGGGUAUAUCCCAUCUGUCAUGGAGAACAAAGAUCUUUUAUCGAAUGAUGGGUACAUAUUGUGGUGAGAACGAUAAAGCUUUGCACCUAAUUCCUAAAAAAAAUUCCCUAAGGUAUAGUAUUGACGUGUAAGCGUAUUGUUGCGCAUAUCAGAAAUUAUGCAUGGUUGUUAAGUCAAACCAGUACAAAAAGUGAGAAUUGAGAAAAGUUUUGCUUUUUUCACCUUCAAUUGCUAAGUCCAGCCUGUAGAUGGCUCUGAUGCUUCUGAAUGAAUGUGAAUGAGUGGAAUGCUUCGUACAUUUUGUGUUCCAUAUGUGGAGGGCUAGGGUUAUACAGAGGCCAAGGAAAUGAUGGGUUGGUGAAAUGUUAUGGUUAACAAGUUGUAAAAUUUGUAGCUGUGGAGGGUAUAUCCCAUCUGUCGUGGAGAAUGAGGAUUUUUUUAUCUAAUUAUUAUUGGCAUCUUUGCUGGUAACGAUGAGCUGAUAAUGGACAACUGAGAUACUUGACAUUUGAUAAUGAUGUUCUAAUAAUUGGCACAUGCUUUUUUACAUCUUUUGUGAAAAAAUGAUGUAGUUGGAGAAAGGGAAGGACAACCUGCAUCACCGUUCCACCUUAUACAUUUGAUUUGUUGUGGAGGGAGAUAAAUCCACAAGAUUUAUAUUAAUGAGUCAUGAGCAAUCACAUAAGUGAAUUUGAUAUUACACUUUAAUUUUUAUUUGUAUGAUAUUCAAUCCUCUCAUUUUUACACUAUGAGACUUCACAUAUACUCCAACAUAGUCAUAGUUAAAUUAUGAGCGAAAAAUUAUUUACAACGAAAAUAUGAUAGAAGAUUAAUAAGUUAUUAUUAAGUAUUUUAGAAAAUACAAAGCAUUAUAAAUAUAUAUAUAUAUAUAUAUAAAUAUAAUAAGAGAAUAUAAUGAUAUUGUUCGAUUGGAAAACUCAGAUGGUGAUGUCUUGUGUAGGUAAAAUUAUUGUAUGGUCUAAAACUACUAUGUAAGGAAGUAGAAUAGAGUUUUUUUCAAGAGUUAUUCAUGGUCACGACUCAUUCUUAGACCAUGACCAGCGCACAGACUAUAAUUUUCUUAGUCUGACUAGCCUAAGUGUCCUCACUCAAAAUCACAAUUAAAAGAUCAUCCAAAAGGAGUUAUUGAAAAUUCAACAGAGUUUCUUCUAAAAACAGGUCAAACCCCAUAUUGAAUAACCUGUAAGAACAUAUCAUACAUCCAAACAAAUCUAUAUAUAAAUAUAUGUUCAGAUCUAACAGUUAGAUAUCAAGGUCACAAAUCAUAAUAUAGACCCUUGACAUACGGUCCAAAAUAUCAACUAAUAAUGAUGUUGGUCAUAAAUACUAAUCAUCAAAGUGUCUCAAAAUUUCAUAAUUACACCAUCAAUAUAUAUCUAUAAGAGAGGGUCAUUUAAAUUUCAAAAUAAAGAAUUUUUCUCUAUAUCUAUUACUACCCAUAUCCCUAUAGCUGCAUUAUAUUGGAUUCACAAAAAAAAAAACACUCUUCAUCAAAAUGCAAUGAAGAUCUACCAAAAAGAUAAAGAAAUUCUUGGAUAAGUCAGCAAAUCACAGGAAGUCAUUUACUUCACUACUUGUGUAUCUCAGAAAAUAAAAUGAAAUAAGGGGAUAAGUCACGAAGACUUAGUGAGAGCAUAAAAUACAAAGCGAACAGGAAUGCGAGCACAACAUAACACGAGUCUUUACAUCCAAAAAGAAUUUAAAUGACAUUAAACAAAAAAAAUAAAUACAACUUACUUUUAGAAACUAUUGUAUACUCUCUUGAAAACUUUUAGAACUACAUAUAAACUUGUAUUCAAGAAUAAUAACAUUAUAAACAAACUUUCAUUCCAUCAUGUGCACAUAGACCACAUUAUUUCUUCGUUGUGACGAACAAUAAUUAUAGAACUACGACACUUAGUUCGUAAGCCGCAUUAUCUCUUCGUUGCAGCGAACGAAUCUUUAUGAACUAUGGAUAUUCAACCCAUAGGUUGCAUUCUCUUUUCAUUGCAGCAAGCGAAUACAUGCAUACAUACAUAUAUAUAUAUAUAUAUAUAUAUAUAUAUAUAUAUAUAUAUAUAUAUAUAUAUAUAUAUAUAUAUAUAUAUACUAUGAGUAUUUAACUCAUAAGCUACAUUAUCGAUUCGUUGUAGCAAACGACAAUCAAUCAUCAACUGACAAUAAAUAAAACAAACUAUAAUCCAAUAUUCAUUCUUAAAUACCUUAUUGAAAAUCUCAGAAUAAAUUUCAAUCAAGUGAAAAUAAUUAUUUUAGUUUAUUCUCAGGUACUCCUAAAAUUUCAAAGAUCACAAAAGAAUAUAUUUUGAAGUUUACUUGCUUCUCCUAAAAGAAUUUAAACCAUAAUUUCUCCAUGGAUUAAACUAAAUACUUUUUUUCUUUACACCAAUUACAUUAAAAGAAAAGAUUAACACUGCGUUACUAGGCAUGACAAUGAAAUCCGUACCCGUGGAUAUCCGCCCAAACCCGUCCUGAUUUUGACGGGGAAUAUCCGAGUUGAUCGGAUACGGGUUCGGGGAUUAUUCAACUUUUUAACCGGGGUCGGGAGCGGGGACGGAGAUGUCACUAGCCGUCCCAUACCUAUUCCCGUAUCCGCCCCAAUGAUGAAAUUAUUAAAAUUUUAUUAGUGACUUAUUAAUUUUUUUUAUAAUUUUUACAUAAUUUAAAAUUCUUUUCUUGAUGAUUUUUGUAGACAAAUGCUUUGCAAAUACAAGUAGUUAAAAAUAGAUGUGUAACAAUCAUUUUUUUAAAUCAGAUUUUCAAUAUAAUUUUUUUUAAAAAAAAAAUUACAAAUCUAAUUGGGGACGGGGAUACCCGAUACCCAACGGGUACGGGGAUGGGGUAACAAAAAUUUUAACCCGACGAAUAUCGAAGACGGAUACGGGUAUACGUUGAGGAGUCGGGAUCGGGGACUGGGGAGACAAUACCCGUCCCCGCCCCAUUGCCAUGUCUAUAGGUUACCCUCAUUAGUUGUAAAGCCUUUUCUAACAUCUCCAUUUCUUCCGUUACCCUCAUUAGUUGUAAAACACAAGGCACUCAGUUUCAACAUUUUGUAUCGACGUUACAGUUGCUAUUGCUAAGAGGUUAGCUUAGGUAAUAAGUUAGGAGUUGUCAAAGAUGAAAUCAUUCCUAGCCUUUCAUAUAAACCAUAAUGUUAGAAACAAACAAUUAUGGUUUAACAGCAUAAUCGUUAACCAUUCAAGGAUUCUUUCCCUUUUCAUAACAUUAACACACAAGAAACCACAAAAGAUGCAAAAAUUUAAACAAAAAUAAAAAGCAGAAAAAAGAAAUUAACGACAAAGAAAACUCAAAAUGCAGCUGCCAUAUGGAUCAACUCCACAUGGUUGCCACUGUGACCAAAGCUAUCCCAAUCGACAUCAACAUUGCUCCACCAAGGCUAACCAAACUCACUGCCCCGGAUUUAUUGUGAUUUUGGUCUGUUUCUUCUUGAUCAUCCUCAGAAGAGUUUUGCUUGGCAGCUUUAGGAGCCUUUGCAAGAGUUGUUGGAGCCAAAGCUGGAGCCUUAUUGGUUAGAAAGAAAUCUAGAGGAAGAAGAACCUUGUCCACAUGAUAAAUGCCAAGCUUGUUAUCCGAGUAGACUACUCCGAGAAUGGUGGCAUUGACUACCCCAGUUGAAAUGUUGACACUGUUACCUAAUGCAUUCACAUUCAGCGGAAGCCUUGCAGGGUCUUUACCAGCCACUGUCUGCACAGGGUUGCUUAGGGAAUCGAAGUUUGAGCUCGACACAAACUCUGGCAAUAUGUGGAACUGCACUAAUUCGAUUUUCUGGCCUUCGUUUAGGGAGUUGAGGAAGCCUGCUUUGAGGUUGGAAAAGGCAGAAUCAUCUGGUGCAAGGAUGGUUAUGCCGCCACUCUUGGCUGUUAUGAGCUGUGAGUUGAUGUUGUUCAUGAUUUCUGUGGUUUUGAGGAGGCGGAUUAGGACUGAGAACAUUUUUGCCUUUUUCAGGAUUCUGGUGAUGUCGUCGGGGACUGAGUCAGGAGAGUCUGGAGACUGAGGUAGUGUGGGAACUAAUGGUUUUGGUGAUGGUGCUGUUGCCUUUGGGGUAGGAGGUGUUUUUGGUGCUGCUGCAGGUGCUGGUGAAAUGGCCAUGGUGGUGGAGGAAAGGAGUAGGAAGAGUGAGAAGGAGAAAAGAGUUGCUUGCUUCAUCUUCCAGUUGCCAAGUCAAGC
rnacentral:lncRNA from 1 species